rnacentral:rRNA from 1 species
GAUGAACGCUGGCGGCGUGCCUAAUACAUGCAAGUCGAGCGAACAGACGAGGAGCUUGCUCCUCUGACGUUAGCGGCGGACGGGUGAGUAACACGUGGAUAACCUACCUAUAAGACUGGGAUAACUUCGGGAAACCGGAGCUAAUACCGGAUAAUAUAUUGAACCGCAUGGUUCAAUAGUGAAAGACGGUUUUGCUGUCACUUAUAGAUGGAUCCGCGCCGCAUUAGCUAGUUGGUAAGGUAACGGCUUACCAAGGCGACGAUGCGUAGCCGACCUGAGAGGGUGAUCGGCCACACUGGAACUGAGACACGGUCCAGACUCCUACGGGAGGCAGCAGUAGGGAAUCUCCGCAAUGGGCGAAAGCCUGACGGAGCAACGCCGCGUGAGUGAUGAAGGUCUUCGGAUCGUAAAACUCUGUUAUUAGGGAAGAACAAAUGUGUAAGUAACUAUGCACGUCUUGACGGUACCUAAUCAGAAAGCCACGGCUAACUACGUG